rnacentral:rRNA from 1 species
AGAGUUUGAUCCUGGCUCAGGAUGAACGCUGGCGGCGUGCCUAAUACAUGCAAGUCGAGCGAAUGGAUUAAGAGCUUGCUCUUAUGAAGUUAGCGGCGGACGGGUGAGUAACACGUGGGUAACCUGCCCAUAAGACUGGGAUAACUACGGGAAACCGGGGCUAAUACCGGAUAACAUUUUGAACCGCAUGGUUCGAAAUUGAAAGGCGGCUUCGGCUGUCACUUAUGGAUGGACCCGCGUCGCAUUAGCUAGUUGGUGAGGUAACGGCUCACCAAGGCAACGAUGCGUAGCCGACCUGAGAGGGUGAUCGGCCACACUGGGACUGAGACACGGCCCAGACUCCUACGGGAGGCAGCAGUAGGGAAUCUUCCGCAAUGGACGAAAGUCUGACGGAGCAACGCCGCGUGAGUGAUGAAGGCUUUCGGGUCGUAAAACUCUGUUGUUAGGGAAGAACAAGUGCUAGUUGAAUAAGCUGGCACCUUGACGGUACCUAACCAGAAAGCCACGGCUAACUACGUGCCAGCAGCCGCGGUAAUACGUAGGUGGCAAGCGUUAUCCGGAAUUAUUGGGCGUAAAGCGCGCGCAGGUGGUUUCUUAAGUCUGAUGUGAAAGCCCACGGCUCAACCGUGGAGGGUCAUUGGAAACUGGGAGACUUGAGUGCAGAAGAGGAAAGUGGAAUUCCAUGUGUAGCGGUGAAAUGCGUAGAGAUAUGGAGGAACACCAGUGGCGAAAGCGACUUUCUGGUCUGUAACUGACACUGAGGCGCGAAAGCGUGGGGAGCAAACAGGAUUAGAUACCCU